rnacentral:rRNA from 1 species
GAUGAACGCUGGCGGCGUGCCUAAUACAUGCAAGUCGAGCGAACGGACGAGAAGCUUGCUUCUCUGAUGUUAGCGGCGGAAGGGUGAGUAACACGUGGAUAACCUACCUAUAAGACUGGGAUAACUUCGGGAAACCGGAGCUAAUACCGGAUAAUAUUUUGAACCGCAUGGUUCAAAAGUAAAAGACGGUCUUGCUGUCACUUAUAGAUGGAUCCGCGCUGCAUUAGCUAGUUGGUAAGGUAACGGCUUACCAAGGCAACGAUGCAUAGCCGACCUGAGAGGGUGAUCGGCCACACUGGAACUGAGACACGGUCCAGACUCCUACGGGAGGCAGCAGUAGGGAAUCUUCCGCAAUGGGCGAAAGCCUGACGGAGCAACGCCGCGUGAGUGAUGAAGGUCUUCGGAUCGUAAAACUCUGUUAUUAGGGAAGAACAUAUGUGUAAGUAACUGUGCACAUCUUGACGGUACCUAAUCAGAAAGCCACGGCUAACUACGUG